GCUAUUCCUGAAGUUGGGGCUGUUCUUAAUUUCUCCCUCAGGGUCCUGAAGCAAGAGGUUGGGGAAAACCGGCUUCAGGAAUUGGAACUCACCAGUUCUGCGGUCUCCCGCCAGACACACCUCGUAGCGGUAGCCGUGGGCCAGGGUGCCCGUGCCGCCCACGUCCAGCAGCUGGCCCGGGACGCCGCCCUCCGCGGGCCCCGCGCAGCCCCCCGCCGAGGCCGCCCCGCCCCGCCGGCACAGCCGCCCCGCCGCCAAGGCCAGCAGCGCCCCCACCAGCAGCGCCGACACGCACGCCAGCGCCCCCACCAGGGCGACGGUGAGCGGCUCGUCCGCGCCGGCGCCGGCGCCCGGCGCCCGGCCGGGGGCCUCGGGCGGCGGCAGGUAGGGCUGCGAGAAGCCGUCCACCAGCAGCACGUGCAGCGGGACGCUGGCCGAGAGCGGCGGCUCGCCGUGGUCCCGCACCAGCAGCAGCAGCCGCUGCCGGGGCGCGUCGCGCUCGCUCAGCGGCCGGGCCGUGCGCACCUCGCCGCUGUGCGCGCCCACGCCGAAGAGCCCGGGCUCGGUGGCCUGCAGCAGCCGGUAGGACAGCCAGGCGUUCUGGCCCGCGUCGCCGUCCACCGCCACCACCUUGGCGAGCAGGUAGCCCGGCUCGGCCGCCCGGGGCAGCAGCUCGGUGCAGGGCGCCGAGGCGUUGGGCGGCGGGUAGAGCACGACGGGCGCGUGGUCGUUGGCGUCGGCCACGAGCACGCGCACCCGCGCCUGGCUGCUGAGCGCGGGCGCGCCGCGGUCGGCGGCGCGCACCUGGAAGUCGAAGGCGCGCAGGGCCUCGUAGUCGAGGGCGCGCAGGGCGAAGAGCUGGCCGGUGUCGGGGUUGAUGGCCACGAGCGAGGCGAGGGGCAGGUGCGGGUCGGAGGGCGGCAGCAGCGAGUAGGUGAGCUGGGCGUUGGCGCCCGCGUCGGCGUCGGUGGCGCGGACGGUGCCGAUGUGCAGGGCGGGGCUGUUGUUCUCGCGGACCCGCAGGGUGUAGGCGGGCUGGCUGAAGGCGGGCGCGUUGUCGUUGACGUCGGCCACGCGCACGGUCAGGUUGUGCUGGGUGUGCCGCCGGGGCGUCCCCAGGUCGCUGACGCUGAUGGUGAUGUUGUACUCGGCUCUUUCCUCUCGGUCCAGCGGGCUCUCCGUUACCAGGGUGUAGUAGUUCUUGAAAGUCGGUUUUAG
rnacentral:lncRNA from 1 species